CCCAGCGCAAAACGGGCCCCGAAAGCAGGUGAGUGGAGGACACUUCAAUCUAAAGUGAUCUUAAAGGAGGAGUAGUAGGAUUUGAAGAUGAAGAAAGAAGAGGGGAGGUAAAUUACUUUCCAUCACUUCAAUUUCAACCCAUCAGAUAAAACCUCUCUUUAGUAAACCUGCAUGUGGGUGGAGCUGUAACAGCAAUUAAGGACAGUGUGACUCUGUUCUUCUGACUUUGGGAAAACCAGUUUGGCUGGAACAAAAAGCUGAUAGAGAAGACUAAUGGAAGAUAAGGUUGAAAAGGUAGGUUUGAGGGAGCUUUGUUACAGGAAAAAAAAAAAAAAAAAACUGGGCUUUGUCCUGUAGACAGUGGAGAGGUACUUUAGCAGAUGUAAGACAUUACCAUUAUAGGAAAGCCUCUGAAGUAACAUACACUGUGGUUUUUCCUGUUGCUGAAAAUAUGCCCAGAGUAACAAGAUGUGGCAUAGUUGGUUAUGUGUCUUAUAACCAGUGAGGUGUGCCCAAAUGGGAAAUUAAUGAAUGACUACCCAAAAAGAAGAGGGAGAGUGUUUGAAACACUGUCACUGUGAAAUAGACUGGUUGUAUGAAAAGUUGCAUAUCAAGCCUUUGGCAAAUUAUAUAAAUACUCUGAUUUUGACAUCUUAAAGGAGUAUACUAUAGAAAAUAAAAGAAAAACACUUGAAUCUGUUACAGGAAACGGGUCAUGAUCCAGACCCCAGGAGAGGGUUCUUGGAUCUCACACAAGAAAGAAUUCAGGGUGACCCCACAGUGCAAAAGUCAAAGCAAGUAUUAAGAAAAUGAAGGAAUAACAGAAUGGCUACUACAUAGAGCAGCCCUGAGGGCUGCUGGUUGCCCUUUUUUUUUUUUCCUUUGAGAUGGAGUUUUCGUUCUUGUUGCCCAGGCUGGAGUGCAAUGGCGUGAUCUCGGCUCACCACAACCUCCACCUCCCAGGUUCAAGCAAUUCUGCCUCAGCCUCCCGAGUAGCUGAGAUUACAGGCAUGCGCCACCACGCCCGGCUAAUUUUGUGUUUUUAGUAGAGUGAGGGUUUCUCCAUGUUGGUCAGGUUGGUCUUGAACUUCCGACCUCAGUUGAUCUGCCCGCCUUGGCCUCCCAAAGUACUGGGAUUACAGGCAUAAGCCACCGCACCUGGCCUGGUUGCCCAUUCUUUAUGGUCGUUUCUUGAUGAUAUGCUAACCAAGGAGUGGAUUAAUCAUGCCUCCCCUUUUUGGACCACAUAGGGUCUAAACUGUCAUGGCACAUUUGUAAACUGUCAUGGCACUGGUGGGAGUGUAGCAGUGAGGACGACCAGAGGUCACUCUCGUCGCCAUUUUGGUUUUGGUGGGUUUUGGCCAGCUCCUUUACUGCAACCUGUUUUAUCAGCAAGGUCUUUAAGACCUGUAUUUUGUGCUGACCUCCUAUCUCAUCCUGUGACUUAGAAUGCCUUAACUGACCAUCUGGGAAUGCAGCCCAAUAGAUUUCACCCUCAUUUUGCCCGGCUCCUGUUUAAGAUGGAGUUGCUCUGGUUCACAUGCCUCUAACAAAUCCUUUUAGUUUUUCAUGCUUGUCACAUGUUUACUUCUAAGGGUAUAAUCAUGUGGUUUACUAUAUUAUUACCGAUUAGAUUAUUUUGAACUACUUCAAUUUUAUUUAUUUUACCUCAUUUCCAUUCACAUUUUUUGAAAAGAGCUUUUUUAUAC
rnacentral:lncRNA from 1 species